AGACCCGAAACCCGGUGAUCUAGCCAUGGGCAGGUUGAAGGUUGGGUAACACUAACUGGAGGACCGAACCGACUAAUGUUGAAAAAUUAGCGGAUGACCUGUGGCUGGGGGUGAAAGGCCAAUCAAACCGGGAGAUAGCUGGUUCUCCCCGAAAGCUAUUUAGGUAGCGCCUCGUGAAUUCAUCUCCGGGGGUAGAGCACUGUUUCGGCUAGGGGGCCAUCCCGGCUUACCAACCCGAUGCAAACUGCGAAUACCGGAGAAUGUUAUCACGGGAGACACACGGCGGGUGCUAACGUCCGUCGUGAAGAGGGAAACAACCCAGACCGCCAGCUAAGGUCCCAAAGUCAUGGUUAAGUGGGAAACGAUGUGGGAAGGCCCAGACAGCCAGGAUGUUGGCUUAGAAGCAGCCAUCAUUUAAAGAAAGCGUAAUAGCUCACUGGUCGAGUCGGCCUGCGCGGAAGAUGUAACGGGGCUAAACCAUGCACCGAAGCUGCGGCAGCGACACUGUGUGUUGUUGGGUAGGGGAGCGUUCUGUAAGCCUGUGAAGGUGUGUCGUGAGGCAUGCUGGAGGUAUCAGAAGUGCGAAUGCUGACAUAAGUAACGAUAAAGCGGGUGAAAAGCCCGCUCGCCGGAAGACCAAGGGUUCCUGUCCAACGUUAAUCGGGGCAGGGUGAGUCGACCCCUAAGGCGAGGCCGAAAGGCGUAGUCGAUGGGAAACGGGUUAAUAUUCCCGUACUUGGUGUUACUGCGAAGGGGGGACGGAGAAGGCUAUGUUGGCCGGGCGACGGUUGUCCCGGUUUAAGCGUGUAGGUGUGUGUUCCAGGUAAAUCCGGUUCACUUUAACACUGAGGCGUGACGACGAGGCACUACGGUGCUGAAGCAACAAAUGCCCUGCUUCCAGGAAAAGCCUCUAAGCAUCAGGUAACAUCAAAUCGUACCCCAAACCGACACAGGUGGUCAGGUAGAGAAUACCAAGGCGCUUGAGAGAACUCGGGUGAAGGAACUAGGCAAAAUGGUGCCGUAACUUCGGGAGAAGGCACGCUGACACGUAGGUGAAGUGAUUUACUCAUGGAGCUGAAGUCAGUCGAAGAUACCAGCUGGCUGCAACUGUUUAUUAAAAACACAGCACUGUGCAAACACGAAAGUGGACGUAUACGGUGUGACGCCUGCCCGGUGCCGGAAGGUUAAU
rnacentral:rRNA from 2 species